rnacentral:hammerhead_ribozyme from 1 species
GUCUAGCUGAUGAGCCCCGAACGGGACGAAACUCGCGUCCUAGAU